GUGCCCGAACGACUUAUUUCAUUGGAGGCAACGAGAUCUGCAAGAAUACUUUUCUGUUUUUUAUGGGGAGAGAUUGAUGGCUUUCUGCUGGCAGAUAGGGGUUACCCAUGCACACCAAAUCUUAUUACCCCUUACCCAGAACCUGAACCAGGCCCCCAGCAGCGCUUCAAUGUGGCACACUGCAGGACGAGAGCCUGGGUGGAGAUGACCAUAGGCCUGUUGAAAGCACAUUUCCAGUGCCUACGUCACCUCAGGGUAACCCCUGAAAGGGCCUGUGACAUUAUUGUGGCAUGUGUUGUUCUCCAUAACAUUGCCAUAAUUAGAGGGGAGCAACACCCUGCCCUACAAUUACAAGAUCCUGAGAAAGACCCCAUGAACCCUGCAGGAUGGAAGGGUAGUCCGGGAUAUGAUAUGCCGCAAUGUUUUCUCAGAUUAAUCAUGAUAUCCACCACAAAAAAACAAAAAAGAAAAUGAAUAAACAUGAAAACACAGCA